UAAUACAUAAGGGAAAGAGAUACAUAGUUGGCUUACAAUCGCCACUUCACACAAUUACAUGAAUAAAGCAUUACAUCAUCCAGAUACAAUCAUGGUCCGACUACGGAACCAAAAUAAAAGAAGAACCCCAAAUGCGACAAAGGUCCCCGAUCGACCCCAACUGGGCUCCACUACUGAUCAACUAGAACGAAACAACACAAAGGGCAAGAUCUUCAUCGAGCUCCUCCUUGAGCUUGGUUGCGUCACCUGCUCGGUAACAUAGGCACCUGCAGACUGGUUUUGGAAGUAUCUGUGAGUCAUGAGGACUCAGCAAUCUCGCACCCGCGAGAUCAAGACUAUUUAAGCUUAUAGGAAGGAUGUAGUAAUGAGGUGGAGCUGCAGCAAGCGACUAGCAUAUAUGGUGGCUACAAUAGCAAAAGAGAGCGAGAAGAGAAGGCAAAGCACGGUCGAUAAAAGUAUGAUCAAAAAGUGAUCCUAUAGUAACCUAGUCAAGCAUAACUCCAACACCGUGUUCACUUCCCAGACUCCGCCGGAAAGAGACCAUCACGGUUACACACGCGGUUGAUGUAUUUUAAUUAAGGUCAACUUCGGGUUUUCUACAACCGGACAUUAACAAAUUCCCAUCUGCCACAUAACCGCGGGCACGGCUCUCGAAAGUUUAAACCCUGCAGGGGUGUCCCAACUUAGCCCAUGACAAGCUCUCGCGAUCAACGAAGGAAUAGACCUUCUCCCAGGAAGACCCGAUCAGUCUCGGAAUCCCGGUUUACAAGACAUUUCGACAAUGGUAAAACAAGACCAGCAAAGCCGCCCGAAUGUGCCGACAAAUCCUGAUAGGAGCUGCACAUAUCUCGUUCUCAAGGCACACCGGAUUGUCCAAACUUCCGGUAGGCGAGCCCAGAGUUGCCCCUGGUGGCCACCGGCGGCUGACGGUUUGGACCAACACUCACAACGAGCACUGGCCCGGGGGGGUAAAUAAAGAUGACCCUCGGGCUCCGGAAACCCAAGUGAAAAAAAGGGCUAGGUGAGGCAAAUGGUAAAACCAAGGUUGGGCCUUGCUGGACAAGUUUUAUUCAAAGCGAACUGUCAGGGGGGUCCCAUAAAUCAUCCGACCGCGUUAGGAACGCAAAAUCCAGGAACAUAACACCGGUAUGACGGAAACUAGGGCGGCAAGAGUGGAACAAAACACCAGGCAUAAGGCCGAGCCUUCCACCCUUUACCAAGUAUAUAGAUGUAUUAAUAAUAUAAGAGAUAUUGUGAUAUCCCAACACAACCCUGUCCACCAUGGAGAAAUCUUCAACUUCACCUGCAACUAGCAACGCUAUAAGAGGGCUGAGCAAAGCGGUAACAUAGCCAAGCAACGGUUUUCUAGGAAGGGUGUCAAAGGUUAGAGGUUCAUGGCAACAUGGGAGGCAUGAUAUAGCAAGUGGUAGGCAUCGUAGCAUAGGCAUAGCAAAAGAGCGAGCAUCUAGCAAGCGAAGAUAGAAGUGAUUUCGAGGGUAUGGUCAUCUUGCCUGAGAUCCCGCUAGGAAGAAGAACGAGUCCAUGAAGAAGACAAACGGACGAAGUCGAAUGGAUCCUCACAACUCCGGAACGAAACUGAAGCUAACUAGAGAAGCAACCCGGAAAGAAACAAACAACAUGGUAAACACACAAGCAUAAACAUGUCAUGAUGCACAAACAAGUAUGAUGCAUGUCCGGUUUAAUGAGGCAUGGCAUGGCAAUAUGCACAAACAACACUACAAGUUAAGUGGAGCUCAAUAUGCAACGAGUUGCAUAUUGAGGAAACACCACAUCAAUUAUUUAGUUUCUCUCUCGGUUAUGAACAAGACAAGAUUAAAUGUUGGUUAACAUGGCAAGAGGUGAAGCAUAAUUAAACUACAUAUUUAGGCAAGUUUAAAUGAGGCCGGAAACACAAACAACACUUCCGGAAAAUCCCCAUGUCAUUUAGCAAUUUAAUGCAACAACAAGUUUAAGCAUUUUAAAUGUUGUUAUCACGAUGCAGAUGACAUAUACAAGUUAUAUGCAAUUUUUAUGAAAAUGUUGACAAGAGCAUGUUAUGAAGCAUUUGUCGCCAUGGCGGAAGGAAAAAGGUGCCACGGCGGUGAAACGGAAAUGGUGCCACGGCAACAUUCCGGUCCCAAAAACUCAUGGAGGUACCGGUGCAAAAGGAAGUGUGACGUGAGCGAGUCAUGCAAGAUGGUGGGGUGAUCCCGGAUUACCGGGUUCCCACGGGUCGACGGCAUGGCAAACAAGGAGGAACAUGCAAUGACAAUUCGGAAACGGUGCACACACGAGCAUUUCACACAACCAAUCAUGCAUUCGUUCCACGGACAGUCAUCUCGGUGGUUAUACCUUUGAAGCGUGCGUUUUCGGGGCGGAACGAGUUCAACGAAGGAAGUAGUGGUACACGAGCCGUAGUGGAAGUAGUUGUUCUCGCGAUGGUAGUGGAAGUAGUGGUACAUGGCGACGGUAGAGGUACGCGCAAUCUUUGCGAUGGUAGUCGUACAUGUCCGGAGAGGAACUUGUCGUAUCCAUGUAGUCGAACUUGGCGUGUCCAAAGAGUACUUGGUGAAUCCACGUAGUCGUACACAGGGUCAUAGAGGAACUUGACGUCCAUGGAGUCGACGAUGGUGGAACUUGACGCAUCGUCGUGUGUAGUCAUACUCGGUGCCCUCGGGGCACUGGUCGUAGUUGUGGUACUUGGGGUGCAUCAACUGGUGACCAACAGUGUACAGGAGGCAGAGAGGACUCAUGCGAUCUUCCGGUCAACGUGAACAGGAGGCAUGGAAAAAGGAAGGGGAGACGGCCCCGACCCGUGGACCUGGCGUUUGACUGAAACGAGUCCACGAGGACGAGCGGGCGAGCUGCUGCUGCUGUUCGAGGCGAAGCAGGGGCGCGGUUCAGGCAAAAUGGAGGCAGCAGCGGCGAGGCUUGGGGCUGGCGACGGAGAUCCAGGCGAGGACGGGGCACGACAGCGAUGCGGCAAGGAGCUCCGGCAGGGGCCAAAGCGGCGGCAGGGGAGGACCCUGGUGGUCGACGGGGAGGCUCGAGGCCAUGGCGGUGGAAGGAGGAACCAGGUGGUCUCGGCGAGGAGGCGCGAUGGCAGGGCCGACGGGAGCAGCAGCUCGGACGGCGAGGCGUGGCCAUGGAAGGAGCCUGGCGCGAGGGACGCUAGCGGCGGGACCGCGUGCGAGGUUGCCCUCCUGGUGGUCGCCGACGGCGGCGGGUGGCGAAGGGCGGGCGCCAUGGGGAUGCAGGCAGUGGAGAGGCGCGGGGCGUUGUGGCCAAGUGGAGGGAGGAGGAGGCGCGGAUGGGACGGCGCCGGUCGCCGACGUCAAGGCCCGUAGUGGAGCUCGUGGUGGUUGGUGGUGGCUCGGGACGAGGAUGGACGCAGGGAAGAGGCGAUCGGGAGGGGCAAGGGCGACGCUCCUCUGUGCGUGCGUGCGUGGCGGCGGACAGGAACGAGAGGGAGAGAUGGGGAUCGAGAGGAGGGGAUCAGGGUAGCUAGGGUUAUGGAGCUGGGGCCGGCUGGGCCUAAUGAGGUGGGCUGGUGCUGUGGGCUAGGACGCCCAGCUGGGCUGGACUCUCUCUUCCUCCCUUCUAUUCUUUAGCAGAAAAGAAUUAGAGAGAAGAUAAAGAAAGAGAGGGUUAGCGGAAGAAUUUGUGCAUAGGGUUAAUAUUCCCGGACUCAUAAAAAUGAGCUUAAUCCAAGAAAAUAAAAGUUGGCAUGAAUGCAAGAUUUAAAUUCAAACUCAUUUGAAUUUAAUUCAAAUGGUUUGAACUAGGACAAGGUUUAGGAGUGGCCAAAAUGUUGAGAUUUUUGGUGGAGCUCCGGAAAGUGAUGAAAGAAUUUAUGGACAAAGUUUGAGGUCAAGAAGUGAUAUAACAAAGGCAUGGAAUAUUUUGCAAGUGUGUUAUGGUGAAUUCCAAAUCAAUGGAAUAUUAGUUUUAUAGCCCCCUAAUAAUAUUGGGAGGAUAUAUGUUAUAAAGAUAAAUCACCAUGUGCAUUUCCCUCGAUUUAAAUGGACCGAAGAUCCAUACGAUUUUAUUUAGAUGAGUUUCAAAAAGGGUUGCAUGAUGACAUGAUGCAAUGCAAAUGAUGCAAAGAGAUGAGAUGCAUGACAUGAACAAAAUGCAAAACAAAAGACAAGAACCCAACCACGAAGGAAAUAUCAUAUCACAUCUCCGGAAAAGGCAAGAGUUGGAGUUACGAAUAUGGAAGGUUGUAUCUGGGGCGUCACACAGAGGGGGUGCGCGGCGCCUCUGUGCCAGGCUAUGUGGCUAUGCAGUUCGAAUUGGUCUGGGUUGCUGUGUUCGGCCCGGCCGGACUUGUUGCUGAUGUGUCCGGCGUGACGGUAGUUGUCGCGCGCUGGGGCGCGCCCCCGCGAUCCGUAGAUCAAUCUUGGUUGUCCUGCUUUGUUUUCCAGAAUAUCUUGCAGGUCUUGCCUGUUGAUAACCCACAAGUAUAGGGGAUCGCAACAGUUUUCGAGGGUAGAGUAUUCAACCCAAAUUUAUUGAUUCGACACAAGGGGAGCCAAAGAAUAUUCUGAAGUAUUAGCAGCUGAGUUGUCAAUUCAACCACACCUGGAAACUUAGUAUCUGCAGCAAAGUGUUUAGUAGCAAAGUAAUAUGAUAGUGGUGGUAACGGUAACAAAGUAAAGACAGCAAAAGUAAUGAUUUUGGUAUUUUUGUAGUGAUUGUAACAGUAGCAACGGAAAAGUAAAUAAGCGUAAACCAGUAUAUGGAAAACUCGUAGGCACCGGAUUAGCGAUGGAUAAUUAUGCCAGAUGUGGUUCGUCAUGUAACAGUCAUAACAUAGGGUGACACAGAACUAGCUCCAGUUCAUCAAUGUAAUGUAGGCAUGUAUUCCGUAUAUAGUCAUACGUGCUUAUGGAAAAGAACUUGCAUGACAUCUUUUGUCCUACCCUCCCGUGGCAGCGGGGUCCUAUUGGAAACUAAGGGAUAUUAAGGCCUCCUUUUAAUAGAGAACCGGAACAAAGCAUUAGCACAUAGUGAAUACAUGAACUCCUCAAACUACGGUCAUCACCGGGAGUGGUCCCGAUUAUAGUCACUUCGGGGUUGCCAGAUCAUAACACAUAGUAGGUGACUAUAGACUUGCAAUAUAGGAUCUAGAACACACAUAUAUUCAUGAAAACAUAAUAGGUCCAGAUCUAAAAUCAUGGCACUCGGGCCCUAGUGACAAGCAUUAAGCAUAGCAAAGUCAUAGCAACAUCAAUCUCAGAACAUAAUGGAUACUAGGGAUCAAACCAUAACAAAACUAACUCGAUUACAUGAUAAAUCUCAUCCAACCCAUCACCGUCCAGCAAGCCUACGAUGCAAUUACUCACGCACAGCGGUGAGCAUCAUGAAAUUGGUGAUGGAGGAUGGUUGAUGAUGAUGACGGCGACGAAUCCCCCUCUCCGGAGCCCCGAACAGACUCCAGAUCAGCCCUCCCGGGAGAGAUUAGGGCUUGGCGGAGGCUCCGUAUCGUAAAACGCGAUGAAACUUUCUCUCUGAUUUUUUUCUCCCCGAAAGCCAAUAUAUGGAGUUGGAGUUGGCGUCGGAGGGCCACCAGGGGGCCCACGAGGAAGGGGAGCGCGCCCAGGGGGAGGGGCGCGCCCCGCACCCUCGUGGAAAGGGUGUGGGCCCCCUGGUCUUCAACUUCGGCAAGGAUUUUUUAUUAUUUAUUCUAAGAUAUUCCGUGGAGUUUCAGGUCAUUCCGAGAACUUUUGUUUUCUGCACAUAAAACAACACCAUGGCAAUUCUGCUGAAAACAGCAUCAGUCCGGGUUAGUUCCAUUCAAAUCAUACAAGUUAGAGUCCAAAAUAAGGGCAAAAGUGUUUGUAAAAGUAGAUACGACGGAGACGUAUCAACUCCCCCAAGCUUAAACCCUUGCUUGUCCUCAAGCAAUUCAGUUGACAAAUUGAAAGAGAAAAAGAAAAACUUUUACAAACUCUGUUUGCUCUUGUUGUUGUAAACGUGAAAAGCCAGCAUUCAAGUCUCAUCAAUUAUUACAAACUAACCAUACUCACAAUGACACGUAGGUCUCACAAUUACUCAUAUCAAUAGCAUAAUCAGCUACCGAGUCAUAAUAAUAAAACUCGGGUGACAACACUUUCUCAAAAUAAUCAUAACAUGACAUAAAAAAUGGUAUCUCGCUAGCCCUUUCUGAGAUCGCAAAGCAUAAAUGCAGAGCACCUUUAAAGAUCAAGGACUAACUAAACAUUGUAAUUCAUGGUAAAAGAGAUCCAGUCAAGUCAUACCCAAUAUAAACAAAUAAUAAUGAAUGCAAACGACAGUGUGCUCUCCAGCGGGUGCUUUUUAAUAAGAAGGGUGAUGACUCAACAUAGAAGUAAAUAGAUAGGCCCUUCGCAGAGGGAAGCAGGGAUUUGUAGAGGUGCCAGAGCUCGAUUUUGAAAUAGAGAUAAAUUAUAUUUUGAGCGGCAUACUUUCAUUGUCAACAUAACAACUAAAAGACGACGAUAUCUUCCAUGCUAAACAGAUUAUAGGCGGUUCCCAAACAGAAUGGUAAAGUUUAUACUCCCCCUCCUCCACACGCAUCAAUCCAUGGCUUGCUCGAAACAACGAGUGCCUCCAACAUUCAACGAGUCCCAAGGGGAGUUUUGUUUGCAGUUAUUUUGAUUUAGUUGGCACAAAGCAUGGGACUGGGCAUCCCGGAUACCAGCCAUUUUCUCGUGAAUGAGGAGCAGAGUCCACUCCUCUUGAGAAUAACCCGCCUAACACGAAAGAUAAGGUCAGCUCUAGUUGACAUAUGAGCUAUUCGAGUAUGCAAAAUAGAAUGUUUAUUUGAAGGUUUAGAGUUUGGCACAUACAAAUUUACUUGGAACGGCAGGUAAAAACCGCAUAUAGGAAGGUAUGGUGGACUCAUAUGGAAUAACUUUCGGGUUUAAGGAGUUUGGAUGCACAAGCAGUAUUCCCGCUUAGUACAAGUGAAGGCUAGCAAAAGACUGGGAAGCGACCAACUGAGAGAGCAACAACAGUCGUAAACAUGCAUUAAAAUCAAUUUACACUGAAUACAAGCAUGAGUAGGAUAUAAUCUACCAUGAACAUAAAUAUCAUGAAGGCUAUGUUGAUUGGGUUCAACUACAUGCAUGAACAUGUGCCAAGUCGAGUCACUCGAUGCAUUUAAAGGAGGAUACCACCCCAUCAUACCAUGUCAUAAUCAUUCUAAUAGCAUGUUGGCACGCAAGGUAAACCAUUAUAACUCAUAGCUAAUCAAGCAUGGCACAAGCAACUAUAAUCUCUAAAUGUCAUUGCAAAUAUGUUUACUUCAUAAUAGCUAAAUCAGGAACGAUGAAUCAUCAUAUUUACAAAAACAAAAGAGGUCGAGUUUGUACCAGCUUUUCUCUUCUCAAUAAGUCCAUAAUAUAUCAUCAUUAUUGCCUUCCACUCGCACGACCGAGCGGUGUAUAAUAAUAAGAGUGCACGUGCAUUGGACUAAGCUGGAAUCUGCAAGCAUUCAACUCAAGAGAGAAGACAAGUAAUAUGGGCUCUAGGUAUAAAUAAUCAAUCAUGCAUAAAAGAGCCACUAAGCAUUUUCAAUAUGGUCUUCUCGACCCCCAAAGAAAGAAAAAGAAAUAAAAACUAUUUACACGGGAAAGCUCCCAACAAGUAAAAGAAGAACGGGAAAUAUUUUUGCGUUUUCUUUUUAAUUCUACUACAAGCAUGGAAAGUAAACUAACUAAUUUUUUUAAAGUAUAUAAAACACACAAGAAGAAAGCAGGAAAAAGAAAUUUAAACUAGCAUGGAGAAUACAAUGAAAGAGUAUGAGCACCGACAUCUAGCAAUGAGUGUGCGUGAACAUGAAUGUAAUAUCGGUGAGAAAUACGUACUCCCCCAAACUUAGGCUUUUGGCCUAAGUUAGUCUAUUGCCAGGGAUGGCCUGGCGGAUACCCUUAGGUGAAGCUGGGGUCAUACUGUGAUGCAGCGGCUACCGCCUGCCACUGGCUGGCAGCCUCCUCUGGAUCCCAAGAAUAAACAGAUAGUCGUGGAGGAUCAUCUUGUGGCUCCGGUUCCAGGGCUGGUGCAGGGUUCCGAUAGGCUUGAACAGCCGACCACGGAACAAUGUGAGGUUCUGCAAACAAGUUAAACAAAGAAGGAGCAGGCAAAGUAAUAGUCUCAGGGUGAUGUUUAUCAAAGUAUAAUUUAUAUUUGAGCUCCCCAUCGCGACUCUUAACAAGAAAAUCAUGCGCUAUCAUACUCUUGUAAUCUAAAUAAGCACGGGGCAGCACUGUUUCUUCUUUCUCCACAUGCCUAAUAGGUAUUUCAAAAUGUUCAGCUAGGCGCGAAGCAUAAAUGCCUCCAAAGAUGGGGCCAUUAGUACGGUUCAGACUUAACCGUCUAGCAACAAUUCCACCCAUACUAACAGAGUUAUCGCGGUAUAAACCAUGGAGCAAAAUAAUAAUAUCAGGAAUACUAAGGUUCCCACAGUUCCCGCGUGCAAUCAAGCAACGACUCGCAAAUAAGGCAAAGUAGCGUAAAACAAGAUAAUGUAUGCUAGUGAUCCUUGCAUCAGAAACCUUCCUGGUUUCUCCCACCGUGAUAAUGUUGACAAAAGCUUCUAAUUCAUUACGGUGGGGUUCAUCUAAGGUGCCCUCAAAGGGUAUUCUGCAAACCUCGCAGAAUUCUGCUAAUGUCAUCUCUUUAACAACGUCAUAUAAAUGAAACUCUACUGUUGGAGGUGAUUUCUUAGGGAAAAAGUAGAAGUUUUGCACAAAAGUAUUUGUGAGUAAGAGAUACUGAUGACGUUGGUUGUGGAGGAAGUCGGUGAGGCCGGCGUUCUCAAUCAAUAAAUAGAAAUCUUCAUGAAUCCCAGCUCUCCUCAAGAAGUCAUCGGAAGGCCAUUCACACGGCCGGACCUCCGCAGUGCGAGGUAAAUUAAAUUUGGGCUUCUCCUCUUCUUCCUUUUGUUUUUCCUUAGAGCUUCGGCUCGACGAGCCCCUCAAAAGUCUCUUCAUUAUUUCUGAAACGAUCUGAAAUUUUUAGUAACCUCAAAUAAAAGUGAACCAACUUCAAUAAAAUUGAUAGCAACAACUCGCACAAGUUCCUAGAGCCUAUAUAAAGCAUUGGAACUACUUGGAACCAUAUAAAUUUGACAUGCAAGCUCAAGAACAUGGUCACCUAUGCAGCACAAAUUUGCAAUGAAUAAAGCACUAGAACAAAAACUAAUUGGACCAAUGGAAGAGUCACAUACCAAGGAACAAUCUCCCCAAGCAGUUUUGUGAGAGAUGCUUUGAGCAAGGAGAUCGAAAAUCACAGCAACGGGGGGUGGAACUCGUGCUUGAGUUGGUUUUUCGUGUUUGUGUGAGACAGAGGAAGAAGAUGGGUGCAGGAAUAAGUGGAGGGGGGCCACGGUGGGCUCACGAGGCAGGGGGUGCGCCCAGGGGGGUAGGGCGCGCCCUCUACCCUCGUGGCCAGGUGGCAGGUCCCCCCGCGGUAAUUUUUGCACAGUAAAAUUCUCAAAUAUUCCCGAAAAAAUCAUAUUAGACUGGCAUGGCAUUCUGAGGACUUUUAUUUUGGGGAUAUUUUUAUAUUGCACGGAUAAGUCAGGAAACAGACAGAAAAAUACUAUUUUACUUUAUUUUUACUAAAUAACAAAAAAUAUAAAGAGGGUACAAAAGGUUGUGCUUCUAGUUUCAUCCAUCUCGUGAUCAUCGAAAUGAACCCACUAACAAGGUUGAUCAAGUCUUGUUAACAAACUCAUUCCGAAUAAUCCUAGAACUGGAGAAAUUUUGAAUGCCACUAAGUUACCUCAACGGGGAUAUGAAAAUCCCCAACAAUAAGAAUAUCAUACUUUUUCUUGACAGUAGGGAGAGGAAAUUCAAAACUCCAAAUAUAAUCGAUGGGAUUUUUCCAAUAGAGUUGAUACUAUAAACUUGAGGUUGUUUCCUCGGAAAAUGUAUCGUGUGCUCAUUACCAUUAACAUGAAAAGUGACAUUGCCUUUGUUGCAAUCAAUAACAGCCCCUGCAGUAUUAAGGAAAGGUCUUCCAAGAAUAAUAGACAUACUAUCAUCCUCGGGAAUAUCAAGAAUAACAAAGUCCGUUAAAAUAGUAACGUUUGCAACCACAACAGGCACAUCCUCACAAAUACCGACAGGUAUAGCAAUUGAUUUAUCAGCCAUUUGCAAAGAUAUUUCAGUAGGUGUCAACUUAUUCAAGUCAAGUCUGCGAUAUAAAGAGAGAGGCAUAACACUAACACCGGCUCCAAGAUCACAUAAAUCAGUUUUAACAUAACUUCUUUUAAUGGAGCAUGGUAUAGUAGGCACUCCGGGAUCUCCAAGUUUCUUUGGUAUUCCACCCUUAAAAUUAUAAUUAGCAAGCAUGGUGGAAAUUUCAGCUUCAGGUAUCUUUCUUUUAUUAGUAAUAAUAUCCUUCAUAUACUUAGCAUAAGGAUUUGUUUUGAGCACAUCAGUUAAUCGCAUACGCAAAAAGAUCUGUCUAAUCAUUUCAGCAAAGCACUCAAAAUCCUCAUCAUCCUUUUUCUUGGAUGGUUUCGGAGGAAAAGGCAUGGGUUUCUGAACCCAUGGUUCUCUUUCUUUACCAUGUUUCCUAGCAACGAAGUCUCUUUUAUCAUAACGUUGAUUCUUUGAUUGUGGGUUAUCAAGAUCAACAGCAGGUUCAACUUCUACAUCAUUAUCAUUACUAGGUUGAGCAUCAUCAUGAACAUUAUCAUUAACAUUUCCACUAGGUUCAUGUUCAUUACCAGAUUGUGUUUCAGCAUUAGACAUAGGGAUAUCAUUUUGAUUAUCAGGUGGUUCAGCAAUAGGUUCACUAGAAGUUUGCACAGUCCUAUCAUUUUUCUUUUUCUUCCUCUUAGAAGAACUAGGUAUAUCAGUAUUAUUUCUCUGAGAAUCUUGCUCGAUUCUCUUAGGGUGGCCUUCAGGAUACAAAGGUUCCUGAGUCAUUCUACCAGUUCUAGUAGCCACUCUAACAGCAUAAUCAUUUUUCUUACUAUUCAUUUCAUCAAGCACUUCUUUCUGAGCUUUAAGUACUUGUUCUACUUGAGUGGUAACCAUAGAAGCAUGUUUGCUAACAAGUUUAAGUUCACCUCUAAUAUCAGCCAUAUAAUCACUCAAGCGUUUAAUCAUAAAGGUAUUCUGUUUUAAUUGUCUACCAAAAUAAGCAUUAAAGUCAUCUUGCUUAAACAUAAAGUCAUCAAACUCAUCCAAGCACUGACUAGCAAUUUUAGUAGGAGGAACUUCAGCUUUAUCAUAUCUAUAGAGAGAAUUUACCUUUACUACCUGUGUCGGGAUAUCGGGAGGUUCUUCAGUAAAUAAGUAAUUGAGAUCAUAUACUUCUUCAACAGGCGGUAAAUUAAGACCAUGUAUUUCUUCAAUAGGAGGUAAAUUCUUAACAUCUUCAGCUUUAAUGCCUUUUUCUUUCAUAGAUUUCUUUGCCUCUUGCAUAUCUUCGGGACUGAGAAAUAGAACACCUCUCUUCCUCGGAGUUGGUUUAGGAAUAGGCUCAGUAAUUGGCUCAGGAGCUGGCUCAAGAGUUGUCUCAGGAGUUGGCACAGGAGGUGCCCAAUUAUUUUCAUUUGCCAACAUAUUAUUCAAUAAAAUUUCAGCGUCAUCCGGUGUUCUUUCCCUGAAAAGAGAACCAGCACAACUAUCCAGGUAAUCUCUAGAAGCAUCAGUUAGUCCAUUAUAAAAGAUAUCAAAUAUUUCAGGUUUCUUAAGAGGAUGAUCAGGCAAAGCAUUAAGUAACUUGAGAAGCCUCCCCCAAGCUUGUGGGAGACUCUCUUCUUCAAUUUGCACAAAAUUGUAUAUUUCCCUCAAAGCAGCUUGUUUCUUAUGAGCAGGGAAAUAUUUAGCAGAGAAGUAAUAAAUCAUAUCCUGGGGACUUUGCACACAACGAAGAUCAAGAGAAUUAAACCAUUUCUUAGCAUCACCCUUUAAUGAGAACGGAAAUAUUUUGAGUAAAUAAAGGUGGCGGGAUCUCUGAUUAUUAGUAAACAGGCUAGCUAUAUCAUCUAACUUACGAAGAUGUGCCACAACAGUUUCAGAUUCAUAGCCAUAAAAAUGAUCAGAUUCAACCAAAAUAAUUAUAUCUGGAUCGACAGAAAAAUCAUAAUAAUCCAAAUCAGGAACACAGAUAGGUGAAGUAGCAAAAGCAGGGUCGGGUCUCAUCCUACCUCUAAAAGAUUCUUUACUCCACUUAAUUAGCAACCUCUUAUGUUCAAGACUAUCCUGGCAAGCAAGAACAGCUUCAAUAGAUUCAACAUUAAAAAGAUAACCCUCAGGAAUAGCAGGAAUAGGUUCAUCAUCACUCACAUCAUUGUCUUCAGGUUCAAUAAUUUCUCUUUCUCUAGACCUAGCAAUUUUCUCAUCAAGAUAUUCACCAAGUGGCACAGUAUUAUCAAGCAUAGAAGUAGUUUCAUCAUAAGUAUCAUGCAUAGCAGAAGUGGCAUCAUCAAUAACAUGUGACAUAUCAUAAUCAAUAGCAGUAGUAGGUUUAGGUGUCGCAAACUUACUCAUAACAGAAGGAGAAUCUAGUGCAAGGCUAGAUGGCAAUCCAUUAUCUCCCCUCGUAGUUGAGGGCAAAAUAGUAGUUCGAUCAUCUUUCAAAUUGUUCAUAGUGUCCAGCAGAUAUAAAUCCAAAGUGACUCAAAGAAUAGAGCUAUGCUCCCCGGCAACGGUGCCAGAAAAAGGUCUUGAUAACCCACAGGUAUAGGGGAUCGCAACAGUUUUCGAGGGUAGAGUAUUCAACCCAAAUUUAUUGAUUCGACACAAGGGGAGCCAAAGAAUAUUCUCAAGUACUAGCAGCUGAGUUGUCAAUUCAACCACACCUGGAAACUUAGUAUCUGGAGCAAAGUGUUUAGUAGCAAAGUAAUAUGAUAGUGGUGGUAACGGUAACAAAGUAAAGCAAAAGUAAUGAUUUUGGUAUUUUUGUAGUGAUUGUAACAGUAGCAACGGAAAAGUAAAUAAGCAUAAACCAGUAUAUGGAAAACUCAUAGGCACCGGAUUAGCGAUGGAUAAUUAUGCCGAAUGCGGUUCGUCAUGUAACAGUCAUAACAUAGGGUGACACAGAACUAGCUCCAGUUCAUCAAUGUAAUGUAGGCAUGUAUUCCGUAUAUAGUCAUACGUGCUUAUGGAAAAGAACUUGCAUGACAUCUUUUGUCCUACCCUCCCGUGGUAGCGGGGUCCUAUUGGAAACUAAGGGAUAUUAAGGCCUCCUUUUAAUAGAGAACCGGAACAAAGCAUUAGCACAUAGUGAAUACAUGAACUCCUCAAACUACGGUCAUCACCGGGAGUGGUCCCGAUUAUUGUCACUUCGGCGUUGCCGGAUCAUAACACAUAGUAGGUGACUAUAGACUUGCAAGAUAGGAUCUAGAACACACAUAUAUUCAUGAAAACAUAAUAGGUCUAGAUCUGAAAUCAUGGCAGUCGGGCCCUAGUGACAAGCAUUAAGCAUAGCAAAGUCAUAGCAACAUCAAUCUCAGAACAUAAUGGAUACUAGGGAUCAAACCCUAACAAAACUAACUCGAUUACAUGAUAAAUCUCAUCCAACCCAUCACUGUCCAGCAAGCCUACGAUGCAAUUACUCACGCGCGGCGGUGAGGAUCAUGAAAUUGGUGAUGGAGGAUGGUUGAUGAUGACGACAGCGACGAAUCCCCCUCUCCGGAGCCCCGAACGGACUCCAGAUCAGCCCUCCCGAGAGAGAUUAGAGCUUGGCGGCGGCUCCAUAUCGUAAAACGCGAUGAAACUUUCUCUCUGAUUUUUUUCUCCCUGAAAGCCAAUAUAUGGAGUUGGAGUUGGCGUCGAAGGGCCACCAGGGGGCCCACGAGGUAGGGGCGUGCCCAGGGGGGAGGGGCGCGCCCCCCACCCUCGUGGACAGGGUGUGGGCCCCCUGGUCUUCAUCUUUGGCGAGGAUUUUUUAUUAUUUAUUCUAAGAUAUUCCGUGGAGUUUCAGGUCAUUCCGAGAACUUUUGUUUUCUGCACAUAAAACAACACCAUGGCAAUUCUGCUGAAAACAGCGUCAGUCUGGGUUAGUUCCAUUCAAAUCAUACAAGUUAGAGUCCAAAACAAGGGCAAAAGUGUUUGGAAAAGUAGAUACGAUGGAGACGUAUCACCUGUUACCCCGGGCUGUAGUAUAAUUGCGUGGGGGUGCGGGCUGAUAUUCAGGCUGAUAUCCCGUUUUAUCCCGGCCACGGGAUGGCCGGUCAGCCGUUUGGCGCUCGAGUCCGUAUUCCUCGGCUGCCAGGACUUCAGUCCAUCUAUCUGUGAGCAGGUCUUGAUCAGCCUGGAGUUGCUGCUGGUUCUUAUUUAGGCUCCUCGCAGUGGCGAUAAGCCAGCGCUUGAAGCGCUCCUGCUCCACGGGAUCCUCAGGCACGCCGAACUCGUCGUCGCCGAGGCUAAUCUCGUCUUCGAAGGGGGGCAUAUAGUUGUCUUCCUCCGGGUAUCCGUCAGUUGCAUGUUCGUCUGGGCUGACCCGCUCAUCCUCCUGUUCGGCCUGCUCGAAGGCGGGCUGGUCAGGGUUGUAUUCCUCUUCGGCACCAUCCGGAUUGCUUUCCUCUUCGGCACCAUCCGGAUUGCUUUCCUCUUCGGGGCCGGUAUUGCUGUGGUGGGGCUUGGAGCAGCGCUGACGACGCCCAUGCUUUGCUUUUCUCCCUGAGGGGUUAUCCUCCGUUGCCUCGUUGCUAUUGGUUUCUUUCGGAUUUUCGACCAUGUAUAUAUCGUAUGAGGAGGUGGCCGUCCACCGCCCUGUGAGCGGUGGCUCCUGUAAUUCUCUUGCAUCGUCGUCCAUACCAUCGAUGUCUUCGGAGUCGAAGUCAAGCACAUCGGUUAAAUCAUCGACUGUGGCAAUGAAGUGGGUGGUGGGUGGGCAGCGAAUUCCUUCGUCGCCUACUUCCCACUCAAGCCGGACAUAGUUCGGCCCAGAGCCUCCUGACAAAGGGAGAGACUUUAGUGAGUUCAGCAUGUCGCCAAAGGGCGAGUGCUAGAAGAUGUCUGCAGCGGUAAACUCCAUUACCGGAGCCCAACCAGGCUCAGUUGGCUCGAGGGUGUGCGGACCGGAAACAACAACCGGAUACGAGUCCGAGGUCCCGGUUUACAGGCUUCCACAGAGGUGAGACCUAUGUUCGACUCCAUCGCCGAUGAGUGUGCGGCCUGCUGGGCGGGGUCCACCCCUCCGUCCUUAGGCAACGCAACUUGCUCCGGAUUUAGAUCCGAGGCUACUGUAGGGGUGAUAUCCCGAGCUUUGUCCGACAGCAGGUCUGAGCCGUGCUCAUCGUGACUGUUCGGUGCUCCUGGCGUAGUCCCAAAUCCGUCGAAGAUCAAGUCUCCGCGAAUAUCCGCUGUGUAGUUCAAGUUUCCGAACCUGACCUGGUGGUCGGGGGCAUAGCUAUCGAUCUGCUCCAGAUGGCCAAGCGAAUUGGCCCGCAGUGCGAAGCCACCGAACACGAAGAUCUGUCCGGGGAGAAAAGUCUCCCCCUAGACCGUGUUGUUGAUGAUUGAAGGUGCCAUCAAGCCCUGCAGCGACAACACAGAGGAACUCUCAAUGAAAGCACCAAUGUCGGUGUCAAAACCGGCGGAUCUCGGGUAGGGGGUCCCGAUCUGUGCGUCUUAGGCUGAUGGUAACAGGAAGCGAGGGACACAAUGUUUACCAGGUUCGGGCCCUCUCGAUGGAGGUAAAACCCUACUCCCUGCUUGGUUAAUAUUGAAGAUAUGAGUAGUACAAGAGUAGAUCUACCACGAGAUCGUAGAGGCUAAACCCUAGAAGCUAGCCUAUGACGGUAUGAUUGUAAUUGUGAUCAGCCUUCUAAGGACCAACCUCUCCAGUUUAUAUAGACACUGGGGAGGGCUAGGGUUUACAUGGAGUUGGUUACAAGGAAGGAAAUAUAAUAUCCGGAUUGCCAAGCUUGUCUUCCACGCAAAGGAGAGUCCCAUACGGACACGGAACGGAGUCUUGAGUCUUGUAUCUUCACACUUCAAUAGUCCGGACGAUGUAUAUAGUCCGGUUGUCUGGAUAUCCCCUAAUCCAGGACUUCCUCAAUCUUCACCCCGACCAAAAGAGCAAAGAGUUGCUCCUCAACCUACUGAACUUUUUGAAAAUAUUUACUUUGAGAUUCCUUCGGGUAUGAUAGAGAAACUGCUAGCUAAUCCAUUUGCAGGAGAUGGAACAUUGCAUCCCGAUUUACACCUUAUCUUUGUGGAUAAAGUUUGUGGAUUAUUUAAGCUUGCAGGUAUUCCCGAUGAUGUUGUCAAAAGGAAGGUCUUCCCUUUAUCUUUGAAGGGAGAUGCAUUGACAUGGUAUAGGCUAUGUGAUGAUACGAGAUCUUGGAAUUAUAAAUGAUUGAAGUUGGAAUUUCACCAGAAGUUCUAUCCUAUGCAUCUUGUUCAUCGUGAUCGUAAUUACAUAUAUAAUUUCUGGCCUCGUGAAGGAGAAAGCAUCGCUCAAGAUUGGGGGGGCUUAAAUCAAUGUUAUAUUCAUGCCCCAAUCAUGAGCUCUCCCAGGAAAUGAUUAUUCAAAAUUUUUAUGCUCGGCUUUCUCUUAAUGAUCGCAACCUGCUCGAUACUUCCUGUGCUGGUUCUUAUAUGCUGAAGACUAUUGAUUUCAAAUGGGAAUUAUUGGAAAGAAUUAAAUGCAACUCUGAAGAUUGGGGUUCCGAUGAUGGUAAGGAGUCGGGUAUGACACCUAAGUUCGAUUGUGUUAAAUCUUUUAUGGAUACUGAUGCUUUUCAUGGAUUUAGCGAUAUGGACUUGACUCUGAGAUAGUAGCUUCUUUCUGUGAAUCUUUUGCUACUCACGUUGAUCUCCCUAAAGAGAAGUGGUUUAAAUAUAAUCCUACUGUUGAAGUGAAAGUAGUUGCACCUAUUACAGUUGAAGAAAAGACUAUCACCUAUAGUGAUCCUAUUGUUCCUACUACUUAUGUUGAGAAACCUCCUUUUCCUGUUAGGAUAAAGGAUCAUGCUAAAACUUCGACUAUUGUUCAUAAGAGUAAUACUAGGACUUAUACACCUCCUAAGCAAAUCAAUGUUGAAUCUAGUAUUGCUAUGGUUAAAGAUCUCUUGGAUGAUGAUUUAGAUGGGCAUGUUAUUUAUUUCUAUGAUGAAACUGCUAAUAUUGCUAGACCAGAUACUAACAUACAUAGACCUAUCAUAGGCAUGCAUGUUAUUUCUGUUAAAAUAGGAGAACAUUCUUAUCAUGGUUUAUGUGAUAUGGGUGCUAGUGCUAGUGCGAUGCCUUAUGAUUUAUAUAAAGAAAUUAUGCACGACAUUGCACCCGUUGAAUUAGAAGACAUUGAUGUUACUAUUAAGCUUGCUAAUAGGGACACUAUUAAACUAGUUGGGAUAGUUCGAGAUGUUGAAGUCUUGUGUGGGAAGGUUAAAUACCCUGCUGAUUUUCUUGUUCUUGGUUCCCCACAAGAUGAUUUUUGUCCCAUUAUUUUUGGUAGACCCUUCUUGAAUAUAGCUAGUGCUAAGAUUGAUUGUGAAAAGAUACUAUCACCAUUGGCUUAGAUGGUAUGUCUCAUGAGUUUAAUUUUGCUAAGUUUCGUAGACAACCUCGUGAUAGGGAACCACCUAGUAAGGAUGAGAUUAUUAGUUUUUCUUCCAUUGCUGUGCCUCCUACUGAUCCGUUAGAACAAUAUUUGCUAGACCAUGAAAAUGAUAUGUUUAUGAAGGAAAGAAGGGAAAUACAUUAAGUGUUCCUUAAACAGGAACCUGUGCUGAAACAUAACCUUCCCAUUGAAAUUCUUGGGGAUCCCCCUCCACCCAAGGGUGAUCCCAUGUUUUAACUCAAACCAUUACCUGAUAAUCUUAAGUAUGCUUAUCUUGAUGAAAAGAAAAUAUAUCCUGUUAUUAUUAGUGCUAACCUUUCAAAGCAAGAAGAAGAAAGAUUAUUGAAAACUCUGAAGAAGCACCGAGCAGCUAUUGGAUAUACUCUGGAUGAUCUUAAGGGCAUUAGUCCCACAUUAUGCCAACACAAAAUUACAGUGGAGAAAGAUGCCAAACCAGUUAGAGAUCCUCAACGACGACUGAAUCCCAAGAUGAAAGAAGUGGUAAGAAAGGAGAUACUAAAGCUCCUUGAGGCAGGUAUAAUUUAUCCCAUUGCUGAUGGUGAUUGGGUAAGACCUAUCCAUUGUGUUCCUAAAAAGGGAGGUAUUACAAUUGUUCCUAAUGAUAAAGAUGAAUUGAUCCUGCAAAGAAUUAUUAUAGGUUAUAGGAUGGUAGUUGAUUUCCGUAAAUUAAAUAAGGCUACUAAGAAAGAUCAUUACCAUUUACCUUUUAUUGACCAAAUGCUAGAAAGACUAUCCAAACACACCCAUUUCUUCUUUCUAGAUGGUUAUUCUGGUUUCUCUCAAAUACCUGUGUCAGCGGGGGAUCAAUCAAAAACUAAUUUUACUUUCUCUUUCGAUACUUUUGCUUAUAGACGUAUGCCUUUUGGUUUAUGUAAUGCACCUGCUAGCUUUCAAAGAUGCAUGAUGGCUAUAUUCUCUGAUUUUUGUGAAAAGAUUUGUGAGGUAUUCAUGGAUGACUUCUCCGUUUAUGGAUCCUCUUUUGAUGAUUGUUUGAGGAACCUUGAUCGAGUUUUGCAGAGAUGCGAAGACACUAGUCUCAUCCUGAAUUGGGAAAAGUGCCACUUUAUGGUUAAUGAAGGCAUUGUCUUGGGGCAUAAGAUUUCCGAGAGAGGUAUUGAAGUUGACAAAGCCAAGGUUGAUGCUAUUGAAAAGAUGCCAUGUCCCAAGGACAUAAAAGGUAUAAGAAGUUUCCAUGGUCAUGACGGUUUUAUAGGAGGUUCAUUAAGGACUUUUCUAAAAUCUCUACGCCUCUGACUAAUUUAUUGCAAAAAUAUAUUCCUUUUGUCUUUGAUGAUGAUUGUGUAGAAGCAUUUGAAAUACUUAAGAAAGCUUUGAUCACUUCUCCUAUUGUUCAGCCACCUGAUUGGAAUUUACCUUUUGAAAUUAUGUGUGAUGCUAGUGAUUGUGAUGUAGGUGUUGUUCUAGGGCAAAGAGUUGAUAAGAAAUUGAAUGUUAUCCAGUAUGCUAGCAAGACUCUUGAUACUGCCCAGAGAAAUUAUGCUACUACUGAAAAAGAAUUCUUAGCAGUUGUGUUUGCAUGUGAUAAUUUUAGACCUUAUAUUGUUGAUUCCAAAGUUACUAUUCACACUGAUCAUGCUGCUGUUAAAUAUCUUAUGGAAAAGAAAGAUGUUAAGCCUAGACUCAUUAGAUGGGUUCUCCUACUCCAAGAAUUUGAUUUACGUAUUAUUGAUAGAAAGGGAGCUGAGAACCCCGUUGCAGACAACUUGUCUAGGUUAGAGAAUGUUCUUGAUGACCCACUACCUAUUGACGAUUGCUUUAUUGAUCAACAAUUAGUGGUCAUUAAUGCUUCUUGUACUGCUCCUUGGUAUGCUUGUUAUCCUAAUUACAUUGUUGCUAAAUUUAUACCGCCUAAUUUCACAUACCAGCAAAAGAAAAAGUUUUUCUAUGAUUUAAGACAUUCCUUCUGGGAUGACCCACACCUUUAUAAAGAAGGAGUAGAUGGUGUUAUUAGACGUUGUGUGCCUGAGCAUGAACAGGAACAGAUCUUACGCAAGUGUCACUCUGAAUCUUAUGGAGGACACCACGCUGGAGAUAGAACUGCACACAAGGUACUACAAUCUGGUUUUUAUUGGCCUACUCUCUUCAAAGAUGCUCGUAAGUUUGUCUUAUCUUGUGAUGAAUGUCAAAGAAUAGGUAACAUUAGUAGAAGUCAAGAAAUGCCUAUGAAUUACUCUCUUGUUAUUGAACCGUUUGAUGUUUGGGGCUUUGAUUAUAUGGGACCUUUUCCUGCCUCUAAUGGUUACACACAUAUUUUAGUUGCUGUUGAUUACGUUACUAAGUGGGUAGAAGCUAUUCCAACUAGUAGUGCUGAUCAUAACACUUCUAUUAAAAUGCUCAAAGAAGUUAUUUUUCUGAGGUUUGGAGUCCCUAGAUAUCUUAUGACUAAUGGUGGUUCACAUUUUAUUAAUGGUGUUUUCCGUAAGAUGCUUGCUAAGUAUGAUGUUAAUCAUAGAAUCGCAUCUCCUUAUCAUCUGUAGUCUAGUGGUCAAGUAGAGUUGAGCAAUAGAGAGCUCAAAUUAAUUUUGCAAAAGACUGUCAAUAGAUCUAGAAAGAAUUGGUCCAAAAAACUUGAUGAUGCAUUAUGGGCCUAUAGAACUGCAUACAAAAAUCCUAUGGGUAUGUCUCCAUAUAAGAUGGUUUAUGGAAAAGCGUGUCAUUUACCUCUUGAACUUGAACAUAAAACAUAUUGGGCUAUUAAAGAGCUCAACUAUGACUUCAAACUUGUCGGUGAGAAGAGGUUGUUUGAUAUUAGCUCACCUGAUGAAUGGAGAACCCAAGCCUAUGAGAAUGCCAAGCUAAUCAAAGAAAAAGUCAAACGCUGGCAUGACAAAAGGAUACAAAAGCGUGAGUUUAACGUAGGAGAUUAUGUGUUAUUAUUCAACUCUUGUUUAAGAUUUUUUGCAGGAAAACUUCUCUCUAAAUGAGAAGGUCCUUACGUUAUCGAGGAGGUCUAUCGUUCUGGUGCCAUAAAAAUCAACAACUUCGAAGGCACAAGUCCGAGGGUGGUAAAUGGUCAAAGAAUUAAACAUUAUAUUUCAGGUAAUCCUAUUAAUGUUGAAACUAAUAUUAUUGAAACCGUAACCCCGGAGGAAUACAUAAGGGACACUUUCCAGAAUGUUCCAGACUCCGAAAAGGAAUAGGUAUGUGGUACAGUAAGUAAACCGACUCCAAAACAACUCCAAUGGCAUUUUUAUCAGUUUUGGAAUAUUUAAGAAUUUUAGGAAGAAAGUAGUCUGAAAGGGACACGAGGCCCCACGAGAGUGGAGGGCACGCCCACCCUUACUGGACGAGCCCCCUGUCUCGUGGGCACCUCGUGUGCCUCCCGGACUCCGUUUUCUUGCACGUUACGUAUUUUGGUCAGUAAAAAUUAAUUAUAUAUACUCCCGAAGGUUUUGACCACCGUAUCACGCAACUAUCCUCUGUUUUCGUUUCGAGCUGUUUCUGUUUCAGAUCUAGAGCAUCAUGUCGUCUCCAAGCGCUCCUAAGGACAAGUUUUUUUCGAGAAGGUUAUCAACCCCUAUCUCGCGGAGGUGCUGCAACACCCUCAAACCAUUGAGAUGCGUGAGGGGUGUUGCACAUUCACGAUGUGGAGGGACCAAGGCGUACCGGAAGCGUGGAGACAAAGCUCGAAGCCGUGGAGCAGCAAGUUUUCAAGUGUCAAGGGAUGGUGGAGCGUGGACUCAACGCCAACCAGAUGAUGAUCUCGGAGUUCAUCAACAACAACAAGCUGGAUGCCAAAGUCAUUGGGGAGACCAUCUUCAAGCUUCAAGAGAAAAUCGAGCACCUCCAAGCCCAGAUCUAUGACCUGCAAAACCAGAACUGUGAGUAUGAAUAUAGAUUCAAGAGGAUGAGUUUGGCUGCAGAUUUAAGGAUCCUGGAGACUCGAUCAUCCUUCUAUGAUGGAGAGCCUAUGCCUUGGAAGACGGACGACAAGCCUACAUCAUCAACAACUCCUACUUCACCACCUCCGAGGACAUAAUCACAUGGGUAUGGGCACUCCCCUUGGCAACUACCAAGCUUGGGGGAGGUGCCCUGGUAUCGUAUCACCAUCACACUCCUAUCUUUACCAUUUUAUUUAGUUCGAUCCUUUUAGUAGUAUCUUGAUCUAGUAGAUUGAAAUUUUAAUAUCAAGUAGUUUUGAGUUUUGCUUUGUGCUCUCUUUAUGUAAUCAAGUCCGUGAGCUAUCUAUAAUAAAGAUUAGUGUUGAGUCAAGGGCUUUGCUAUGUUGCUGUGAUCUUGAGAAAGUAAAAAGAAUAAAAGAGUUCAUAUUGAUCUUAUGGUUAGUUAUGAAUUCACACAUAGAAAGUAUGAGGCAUAAAAAUUGUUGAGAGUUGAUAAACGUAGUUUUGGUCAUCGUUGCAAUUUAUAGGAAGUGAUAAGGAAAGAGGGUUCACAUAUACAUAUAUUAUCUUGGACACCUUUUAUGAUUGGGAGCACUCAUUAAGUAUGACAUGCUAAAAGAGUUGACGUUGGACAAGGAAGACAACGUAAUGGUUUAUGUUUUCUCACAUCUCAGUUAAAGUAUAUUGUCAUUGACCUUCCAAACAUGUUGAGCUUGUCUUUCCCCCUCGUGAUAGCCAAUUUCCUUGCACCAAGUAGAGAUACUACUUAUGCUUCCAAAUAUCCUUAAACCCAGUUUUGCCAUGAGAGUCCACCAUACCUACCUAUGGAUUGAGUAAGAUCCUUCAAGUAAGUUGUCAUGUUGCAGGCAAUAAAAAUUGCUAUCUAAAUAUGUAUGACUUAUUAGUGCAGAGAAAAUAAGCUUUGUACGAUCUUGUUGUGGAAGUAAUAAAAGCGACGGACUGCAUAAUAAAGGUCCACAUACAAGGGGCAAUAUAAAGUGACGUUCUUUUGCAUUAAGAUUUUGUGCAUCCAACCCUAAAAGCACAUGACAACCUCUGCUUCCCUCUGCGAAGGGCCUAUCUUUUACUUUAUGUUUUUACUUUAUGCUUGAGUGAAGGUGAUCCUCACCUUUCCCUUUUUCAUUUUAUCUUUUGGCAAGCUCCUUGUGUUUGAAAGAUCAUGAUAUAUAUAUCCAAUUGGAUGUAAGUUAGCAUGGGCUAUUAUUGUUGACAUCACCUAAAGGUGAAUACGUUGGGAGGCAACACAAUAAGCCCCUAUCUUUCUCAGUGUCCGGGUGAAACUUCAUAACCACAAGUAUUGCGUGAGUGUUAGCAAUUGUAGAAGACUACAAUAUAGUUGAGUAUGUGGACUUGCUGAAAAGCCCUAUUGUUGACUCUUUCUGAUGUUAUGAUAAAUUGCAAUUGCUUCAAUGACUGAGAUUAUAGUUUGUUAGUUCUCAAUGAAGUUUUUGAACCAUACUUGACAUUGUGAAUUGAUUGUUACUUGAGCAUAAGAAAUCAUAAGAUAAAAUCUAUAUAUCUUGAUGUUAUAAGAAUGAUCAUGAUGCCCUCAUGUUCGUAUUUUAUUUUAUCGACACCUCUAUCUCUAAACAUGUGUAUUUUUCGAUAUCGGCUUCCGCUUGAGGACAAGCGAGGUCUAAGCUUGGGGGAGUUGAUACGUCCAUUUUGCAUCAUGCUUUUAUAUCAAUAUUUAUUGCAUUAUGGGAUGUUAUUACACAUUAUAUCUCAAUACUUAUGGCUAUUCUCUCUUAUUUUACAAGGUUUACCAUGAAGAGGGGGAAUGUCGGCAGCUGGAAUUCUGGCUGGAAAAGGAGCAAACAUUGGAAACCUAUUCUGCACUGCUCCAAAAAUCCUGAAACUCCACGAAACAUAUUUUUGGAAUUAAUAAGAAUUAUUGAGCGAAAGAAAUACAUCAGGGGGCCCACACCCUAUCUAGGAGGGUGGGGGCGCCCCCCCUACUGGGCGCGCCCCCUUGUCUCCUAGGCCCCCUGGUGGCCCCCCGGUGUCCAUCUUCUGCUAUAUGAGGGCUUUUUCCCUAGAAAAAAUCGUGGGCAAGCUUACGGGACGAAACUCCGCCGCCACGAGGCGGAACCUUGGCGGAACCAAUCUAGGGCUCUAGCGGAGCUGUUCUGCCGGGGACACUUCCCUCCGGGAGGGGGAAAUCAUCACCAACGAUCCUCUCAUCGGGAGGGGGUCAAUCUCCAUCAACAUCUUCACCAGCACCAUCUCCUCUCAAAACCCUAGUUCAUCUCUUGUAUCCAAUCUUGUAUCAAAACCACAAAUUGGUACUUGUGGGUUGCUAGUAGUGUUGAUUACUCCUUGUAGUUGAUGCUAAUUGGUUUACUUGGUGGAAGAUCAUAUGUUCAUAUCCUUAAUGCAUAUUAUUACUCAUCUGAUUAUGAACAUGAAUAUGCUUUGUGAGUAGUUACGUUUGUUCCUGAGGACAUGGGUGAAGUCUUGCUAUCAGUAGUCAUGUGAAUUUGGUAUUCGUUCGAUAUUUUGAUGAGAUGUAUGUUGUCUUUUCCUCUAGUGGUGUUAUCUGAACAUGGACUACAUGACACUUCACCAUUAUUUGGGCCUAGAGGAAGGCAUUGGGAAGUAAUAAGUAGAUGAUGGGUUGCUAGAGUGACAGAAGCUUAAACCCUAGUUUAUGCGUUGCUUCGUUAGGGGCUGAUUUGGAUCCAUACGUUUAAUGAUGUGGUUAGGUUUACCUUAAUACUUCUUUUGUAGUUGCGGACGCUUGCAAUGCUUGUCCAAGUAAGGGCAGUACCCAAGCACCGGUCCACCCACAUAUCAAAUUAUCAAAGUACCGAACGCGAAUCAUAUGAACGUGAUGAAAACUAGCUUGGCAAUAAUUCCCAGGUGUCCUCAGGAGCUCCUUUAUCAUCAUUAGAAGUUGUCCAGGCUUAUCCUUGCUACAUAAAGGAUUGGGCCACCUUGCUGCACUUUAUUUACUUUAUUUACUUGUUACUCGUUACUAUUUAUCUUAUCACAAAACUAUCUAUUACCUACAAUUUCAGUGCUUGCAGAGAAAACCUUACUGAAAACCGCUUAUCAUUUCCUUCUGCUCCUCGUUGGGUUCGACACUCUUACUUAUCGAAAGGAAUACGAUAGAUCCCCUACACUUUUGGGUCAUCACUCGACGGGAUCCUCAGGCAUGAUAAAUUCUUCGUCGCCGAGGCUCACCUCAUCUUCGGAGAGGGGCAUGUAAUUGUCAUCCUCUGAAUCUCCAUCCGUUGCCUGUUCAUCAGGGCUAGCUUGCCCGUCCUCCCAUCUUGCUUGCUCGAAGCUUGGCUGCACGGGAUUGUUUUCAUCUUCGGCAUCAUCUGAAGUGUUAUUGUCUCUUGUCCCGGUAUCGCUAUUUUUGCUAUGGCGGGGUUUAGAGCGGCGCCGCUGACGUUUGCGCUUGGGUUGCUUAUCAAGAGGAUCAUCCUUCGUUGCAUGCUUUUGAUCCUCGCCAUUAUUUUCUUUGGGUGUGUCCACCAUAUAUAUAUCAUACGAUGAGGUGGCUGUCCAGCGCCCUGUGGGCGGUGGAUCGUGUUCUUCUCCGGCAUCGUCGUCCAUACCAUCGAUGUCUUCGGGUCGAAAUCAAGCAUGUCAGUUAAGUCGCCGACAGUGGCUAUUAAGUGGGUGGUGGGUGGGUAACGAAUUCCUUCGUCGUCCGCUUCCCACUCAAGCCGGACACAGUUCAGCCAAGAGUCUCCUGACAGGGAGAGAGAUUUUAAUGAGUUAAGCACAUCGCCCAAGGGUGAGUGCUGAAAGAUAUCCGCGGAGCUAAACUCCAUGACCGGUGCCCGGCUAGGUCCAAUGGGCACGGAUGUACGCGGUUCGGAUCCUAUGGCCGGAGACGAGUCCGAGGGUCCGACGACACGGACCUCCUUGGAAGUGAGAUCUGUGUUCGGCUCCAUCAUCGCUGGGUGUGCGGCCUCCGUGGUGGGGUCCAUCCUCCCAUCCUCGGAUGGCACGAUCUGCUCCAGAUUUAAGGUCGGGGCAGCUGCAGGUGUGAUCUCCUGAAUAGCGUCCGAUGGAAGAUCUAAGUCAUGCUCAUCGCGAUUGUAGGGCGCACCUGUCAUGAGCUCGAAUCCGUCGAAGAUCAAGUCUCCGCGGAUGUCGGCGGUGUAGUUCAGGCUUCCAAACCUGACCUGAUGGCCAGGGGCGUAGCUAUCGAUCUGCUCCAGAUGGCAAAGCGAGUUGGCCCGCAGUGCAAAGCCGCCGAAUACGAAGAUCUGUCUGGGGAGGAAAACCUCGCCCUGGACCAUGUUGUUGUAGAUGAUUGAAGGAGCCAUCAAGCCUUACCGUGACGACACAGUGGAACUCUCAAUGAAAGCACCAAUGUCGGUGUCAAAACCAGCGGAUCUCGGGUAGGGGGUCCCGAACUAUGCGUCUAAGGCUAGUGGUAACAGGAGGCGGGGGACAUAAUGUUUACCCAGGUUCGGGCCCUCUCUAUGGAGGUAAUACCCUACUUCCUGCUUGGUUGAUCUUGAUGAUAUGAGUAUUACAAGAGUUGAUCUACCACGAGAUCGUAGAGGCUAACCCUAGAAGCUAGCCUAUGAUUAUGAUUGUUGUUGUCCUACAGACUAAACCCUCCGGUUUAUAUAGACACCGGAGGGAGCUAGGUUUACGCAGAGUCGGUUACAGAGAAGGAAAUCUACAUAUCUGAAUUGCCAAGCUUUCCUUCCACGCAAAGGAGAGUCCCACCCGGAUACGGGAUGAAGUCUUCAAUCUUGUAUCUUCAUAGUCCAACAGUCCGGCAUAAGUAUAUAGUCCGGCUGUCCGAGGACCCCCUAAUCCAGGACUCCCUCACCCGUGCCUACCAAAGGCAUCAACGACCACCGUCGUGGCAAAACGGUCAGAAAUAGGGACAAGGUACCCUAAAAACAAACGGGCACACAAGGUUAUGUCUGCUUACCGGGCCAGGGUACGGCACGCUCAUAACCUUCCCUCGUUGAAGGCACCGGCAAGACGCAUGAGAAUGGACCGAAUCAAGACCUCCCCAUAAAGGUAAAUGUGGUUGCACUGAGGAAAACCCGAUUCAGUGGCACCAUGACUUGAUCAACGUUAUAUUCAACUUGGAUUAUUAUCAGGUUUAACUUGAAAAUAAAAUCACCCCAAGUCAUCCGAUGCCAUGAUCAUGCAACUAUUCGACAUGCAAAGCAUAACACUCCAAUGAAUGGAUCAACAUCAUAGAAAUGAUUUUCUUGCACUACUCAUCAUCAAGCUUUACUGGUUCUACUUUAUUGAUGUUUAUCAUGCAUCCUUUUAAUUAUCUUAUCAUUUAUAAGAAAAUCCAUUUAUCAUGAAGAAACUACCAUUAUUCAUAAAGCAUUUUCUCUAGUUAAAACUUUAUUCUACUUGACCAAACUAGUUCAUGCAUUCAACUAGUAACUUAAGCAAGCAUUUCAAGCAUGACAAAGUAACUAGCAUGAAACAAUAUUUAUUGAACUAAUUUAAAUGCAUGAAAAUAACUCAUAUUUAAGUAGAAAAAUCAUAGAUAUUGAAGUGACACCAUCCAAAUGCUGGUGUGGCUUGCCUUAGUGCAGAGGAUGUUCACACUCGUCCUGGUUAUCUUCAAGACAAGUCUCUCCCUCUGAAAAUAUUUAAAAACCACAAAUAUCAAGAACCAUUCUGAAAAUUACCAAAAAUUCUAGAUAGCAAGGAAAAAUCCACCCUUUGGUGUGUUGCUAGAGCUCUUCAAAACAAACACAAUGCAAAAAAGAAUCAACCCAUUUGGACUUGUGGUUUAAAAGUUAUCACUGGUCAAAGUUCCGGUCAAGUUUUUGAAUGAAUUUGAAUUAAACAGAAAAACCAGGGGGUGACGUCGAUGGCGUAAACGCCGAAUACGCCUCCACUCGUACCGCUUCGGGCGCGAGUCGAGAGGCUGACAGCGGGUCCCACCGGUCAGGGAAGAGAGGGGGGAAGAAGAAACAGAGCACAACGAUGCUUCGCCGGAGCUCACGCCGGCGACGAGAGUUUCUUGGGCGAUUCCAGAGGAAUGGAAGUGGAGAGGGGGUCACGGCGCACCUAGCUGUACCCGUGGCUUGUCGAGGGAUGGCCGGAGCUGCUCGCAAUCAAGCUCGCGAGCGGUGGUUGUGGUCGAGAUUCGUCGGAGAGGAAGAAGGCGACCGAGAGGGGCAACUCCAGGUGCUCCAAGGCUUCCAGGCGGCACCAAUGGACCUCCAAGGAUGCGCCUAUGGGGUUGAUUGAGCUCAAGGGGCUCUGGAACGGGAUGGAGAGGCUACAGGGGUCGCCGGCGAGCUCGGGUCAGGGGCGACGGCCAGAGGCCUGCCGGCCGGGCUGCGGCUAAACUACGGGGUCGUGGUGGUUGGGUGGUGUGGUUUGAGGUUUCGGAGGGGAGGGAGGGGCUCUAUAUAUGGCCGGAGGAAGAGGGGGAUACGUGGCACAGCCGGAGUUCUCUGGAAGCCGGCGAGCGAUGACGAAGGGUGCCAGUGAGGGGGGGAGAGCUCAGCGAUCACGCGGGAGCUGUCGCAACUCACGGACGAGCACAGGAAGCAUAGGGGGAAGAAGACAUGGGCACAUGCACAUUGUGCCUUUUGGCCGCGAUGUGCCCGUGCUCGCUGCAACAUCUCCGGCAUUGGUGAGCACCAGGUAGGGGUCAUUGGUGAUGUGUAGAGACUGGUGGCGCGGAGCGGCAGUCGUCGUUGAGCUCUAGCUUGAGAAUGCGCCGAACAGAGGCACUAGCGCGACACAGAGCAUGUCGAACGCAUGCUAGAGCCCGUGUCCUCACACGGUCACCAUGCUGGCAUGGUCAAGACGAUGCCCACGCUCGGCCAAACCUUGUCUGGGGUGUUGUUCAUGCAGUGUUAAGUCUAGGAAAGUUGAGAACUCAAUGCCAGGCCGACCAAAUAGGACUUGAGCUUGGUGGCAAGUUUCUGGCCAGAAACUUGGUCUCCAAGUUUCGAGGGCUUCUAGAAGGUCAUUAGGGCUGAUCUCCUGGGGUUAAGCUAUUCUUAAUUAGGAGGGUAAUGAGGCUCUGGAAAAACCAGCUCCUUGGAUCAAAGAAAAAUACACUUGCUGUACAAAGUGCAUUUUUGGUCCAGAAGUGAAAUGAUUUCUGUAGAAAAAAUAUUCCAAAAAGUCAUGCAAUAUUUUUGUGUGGGAAGGUUAAAUACCCUGCUGAUUUUCUUGUUCUUGGUUCCCCACAAGAUGAUUUUUGUCCCAUUAUUUUUGGUAGACCCUUCUUGAAUAUAGCUAGUGCUAAGAUUGAUUGUGAAAAGAUACUAUCACCAUUGGCUUAGAUGGUAUGUCUCAUGAGUUUAAUUUUGCUAAGUUUCAUAGACAACCUCGUGAUAGGGAACCACCUAGUAAGGAUGAGAUUAUUAGUCUUUCUUCCAUUGCUGUGCCUCCUACUGAUCCGUUAGAACAAUAUUUGCUAGACCAUGAAAAUGAUAUGUUUAUGAAGGAAAGAAGGGAAAUACAUUAAGUGUUCCUUAAACAGGAACCUGUGCUGAAACAUAACCUUCCCAUUGAAAUUCUUGGGGAUCCCCCUCCACCCAAGGGUGAUCCCAUGUUUUAACUCAAACCAUUACCUGAUAAUCUUAAGUAUGCUUAUCUUGAUGAAAAGAAAAUAUAUCCUGUUAUUAUUAGUGCUAACCUUUCAAAGCAAGAAGAAGAAAGAUUAUUGAAAACUCUGAAGAAGCACCGAGCAGCUAUUGGAUAUACUCUGGAUGAUCUUAAGGGCAUUAGUCCCACAUUAUGCCAACACAAAAUUACAGUGGAGAAAGAUGCCAAACCAGUUAGAGAUCCUCAACGACGACUGAAUCCCAAGAUGAAAGAAGUGGUAAGAAAGGAGAUACUAAAGCUCCUUGAGGCAGGUAUAAUUUAUCCCGUUGCUGAUAGUGAUUGGGUAAGACCUAUCCAUUGUGUUCCUAAAAAGGGAGGUAUUACUGUUGUUCCUAAUGAUAAAGAUGAAUUGAUCCCGCAAAGAAUUAUUACAGGUUAUAGGAUGGUAAUUGAUUUCCGUAAAUUAAAUAAGGCUACUAAGAAAGAUCAUUACCAUUUACCUUUUAUUGACCAAAUGCUAGAAAGACUAUCCAAACACACCCAUUUCUGCUUUCUAGAUGGUUGUUUUGGUUUCUCUCAAAUACCUGUGUCAGCGGGGGAUCAAUCAAAAACUAAUUUUACUUUCCCUUUCGAUACUUUUGCUUAUAGACGUAUGCCUUUUGGUUUAUGUAAUGCACCUGCUAGCUUUCAAAGAUGCAUGAUGGCUAUAUUCUCUGAUUUUUGUGAAAAGAUUUGUGAGGUAUUCAUGGAUGACUUCUCCGUUUAUGGAUCCUCUUUUGAUGAUUGUUUGAGCAACCUUGAUCGAGUUUUGCAGAGAUGCGAAGACACUAGUCUCGUCCUGAAUUGGGAAAAGUGCCACUUUAUGGUUAAUGAAGGCAUUGUCUUGGGGCAUAAGAUUUCCGAGAGAGGUAUUGAAGUUGACAAAGCCAAGGUUGAUGCUAUUGAAAAGAUGCCAUGUCCCAAGGACAUAAAAGGUAUAAGAAGUUUCCAUGGUCAUGCCGGUUUUAUAGGAGGUUCAUUAAGGACUUUUCUAAAAUCUCUACGCCUCUGACUAAUUUAUUGCAAAAAGAUAUUCCUUUUGUCUUUGAUGAUGAUUGUGUAGAAGCAUUUGAAAUACUUAAGAAAGCUUUGAUCACUGCACCUAUUGUUCAGCCACCUGAUUGGAAUUUACCUUUUGAAAUUAUGUGUGAUGCUAGUGAUUGUGAUGUAGGUGCUGUUCUAGCGCAAAGAGUUGAUAAGAAAUUUAAUGUUAUACAGUAUGCUAGUAAGACUCUUGAUACUGCCCAGAGAAAUUAUGCUACUACUGAAAAAGAAUUCUUAGCAGUUGUGUUUGCAUGUGAUAAUUUUAGACCUUAUAUUGUUGAUUCCAAAGUUACUAUUCACACUGAUCAUGCUGCUGUUAAAUAUCUUAUGGAAAAGAAAGAUGCUAAGCCAAGACUCAUUAGAUGGGUUCUCCUACUCCAAGAAUUUGAUUUACAUAUUAUUGAUAGAAAGGGAGCUGAGAACCCCGUUGCAGACAACUUGUCUAGGUUAGAGAAUGUUCUUGAUGACCCACUACCUAUUGAUGAUUGCUUUCUUGAUCAACAAUUAGCGGUCAUUAAUGCUUCUCGUACUGCCCCUUGGUAUGCUUGUUAUCCUAAUUACAUUGUUGCUAAAUUUAUACCGCCUAAUUUCACAUACCAGCAAAAGAAAAAGUUUUUCUAUGAUUUAAGACAUUACUUCUGGGAUGACCCACACCUUUAUAAAGAAGGAGUAGAUGGUGUUAUUAGACGUUGUGUGCCUGAGCAUGAACAGGAAUAGAUCCUACGCAAGUGUCACUCUGAAUCUUAUGGUGGACACCACGCUGGAGAUAGAACUGCACACAAGGUACUACAAUCUGGUUUUUAUUGGCCUACUCUCUUCAAAGAUGCUCGUAAGUUUGUCUUAUCUUGUGAUGAAUGUCAAAGAAUAGGUAACAUUAGUAGAAGUCAAGAAAUGCCUAUGAAUUACUCUCUUGUUAUUGAACCGUUUGAUGUUUGGGGCUUUGAUUAUAUGGGACCUUUUCCUGCCUCUAAUGGUUACACACAUAUUUUAGUUGCUGUUGAUUACGUUACUAAGUGGGUAGAAGCUAUUCCAACUAGUAGUGCUGAUCAUAACAAUUCUAUUAAAAUGCUCAAAGAAGUUAUUUUUCUGAGGUUUGGAGUCCCUAGAUAUCUUAUGACUAAUGGUGGUUCACAUUUUAUUAAUGGUGUUUUCCGUAAGAUGCUUGCUAAGUAUGAUGUUAAUCAUAGAAUCGCAUCUCCUUAUCAUCUGCAGUCUAGUGGUCAAGUAGAGUUGAGCAAUAGAGAGCUCAAAUUAAUUUUGCAAAAGACUGUCAAUAGAUCUAGAAAGAAUUGGUCCAAAAAACUUGAUGAUGCAUUAUGGGCCUAUAGAACUGCAUACAAAAAUCCUAUGGGUAUGUCUCCAUAUAAGAUGGUUUAUGGAAAAGUGUGUCAUUUACCUCUUGAACUUGAACAUAAAACAUAUUGGGCUAUUAAAGAGCUCAACUAUGACUUCAAACUUGUCGGUGAGAAGAGGUUGUUUGAUAUUAGCUCACCUGAUGAAUGGAGAACCCAAGCCUAUGAGAAUGCCAAGCUAAUCAAAGAAAAAGUCAAACGCUGGCAUGACAAAAGGAUACAAAAGCGUGAGUUUAACGUAGGAGAUUAUGUGUUAUUAUUCAACUCUCGUUUAAGAUUUUUUGCAGGAAAACUUCUCUCUAAAUGAGAAGGUCCUUACGUUAUCGAGGAGGUCUAUCGUUCUGGUGCCAUAAAAAUCAACAACUUCGAAGGCACAAGUCCGAGGGUGGUAAAUGGUCAAAUAAUUAAACAUUAUAUUUCAGGUAAUCCUAUUAAUGUUGAAAUUAAUAUUAUUGAAACCGUAACCCCGGAGGAAUACAUAAGGGACACUUUCCAGAACGUUCCAGACUCCGAAAAGGAAUAGGUAUGUGGUACGGUAAGUAAACCGACUCCAAAACAACUCCAAUGGCAAUUUUUAUCAGUUUUAGAAUAUUUAAGAAUUUUAGGAAGAAAGUAGUCCGAUAGGGACACGAGGCCCCACGAGAGUGGAGGGCACGCCCACCCUUACUGGACGGGCCCCCUGUCUCGUGGGCACCUCGUGUGCCUCCCGGACUCCGUUUUCUUGCACGUUACGUAUUUUGGUCAGUAAAAAUUAAUUAUAUAUACUCCCGAAGGUUUUGACCACCGUAUCACGCAACUAUCCUCUGUUUUUGUUUCGAGCUGUUUCUGUUUCAGAUCUAGAGCAUCAUGUCGUCUCCAAGCGCUCCUAAGGACAAGUUUUUUCGAGAAGGUUAUCAACCCCUAUCUCGCGGAGGUGCUGCAACACCCUCAAACCAUUGAGAUGCGUGAGGGGGUGUUGCACAUUCACGAUGUGGAGGGACCAAGGCGUACCGGAAGCGUGGAGACAAAGCUCGAAGCCGUGGAGCAGCAAGUUUUCAAGUGCCAAGGGAUGGUGGAGCGUGGACUCAACGCCAACCAGAUGAUGAUCUCGGAGUUCAUCAACAACAACAAGCUGGAUGCCAAAGUCAUUGGGGAGACCAUCUUCAAGCUUCAAGAGAAAAUCGAGCACCUCCAAGCCCAGAUCUAUGACCUGCAAAACCAGAACUGUGAGUAUGAAUAUAGAUUCAAGAGGUUGAGUUUGGCUGCAGAUUUAAGGAUCCCGGAGACUCGAUCAUCCUUCUAUGAUGGAGAGCCUAUGCCUUGGAAGACGGACGACAAGCCUACAUCAUCAACAACUCCUACUUCACCACCUCCGAGGACAUAAUCACAUGGGUAUGGGCACUCCCCUUGGCAACUGCCAAGCUUGGGGGAGGUGCCCCGGUAUCGUAUCACCAUCACACUCCUAUCUUUACUGUUUUAUUUAGUUCGAUCCUUUUAGUAGUAUCUUGAUCUAGUAGAUUGAAGUUUUAAUAUCAAGUAGUUUUGAGUUUUGCUUUGUGCUCUCUUUAUGUAAUCGAGUCCGUGAGCUAUCUAUAAGAAAGAUUAGUGUUGAGUCAAGGGCUUUGCUAUGUUGCUGUGAUCUUGAGAAAGUAAAAGGAAUAAAAGAGUUCAUAUUGAUCUUAUGGUUAGUGAUGAAUUCACACAUAGAAAGUAUGAGGCAUAAAAAUUGUUGAGAGUUGAUAAACGUAGUUUUGGUCAUCGUUGCAAUUUAUAGGAAGUGAUAAGGAAAGAGGGGUUCACAUAUACAUAUAUUAUCUUGGACACCUUUUAUGAUUGGGAGCACUCAUUAAGUAUGACAUGCUAAAAGAGUUGACGUUGGACAAGGAAGACAACGUAAUGGUUUAUGUUUUCUCACAUCUCAGUUAAAGUAUAUUGUCAUUGACCUUCCAAACAUGUUGAGCUUGCCUUUCCCCCUCGUGAUAGCCAAUUUCCUUGCACCAAGUAGAGAUACUACUUGUGCUUCCAAAUAUCCUUAAACCCAGUUUUGCCAUGAGAGUCCACCAUACCUACCUAUGGAUUGAGUAAGAUCCUUCAAGUAAGUUGUCAUGUUGCAGGCAAUAAAAAUUGCUAUCUAAAUAUGUAUGACUUAUUAGUGCAGAGAAAAUAAGCUUUGUACGAUCUUGUUGUGGAAGUAAUAAAAGCGACGGACUGCAUAAUAAAGGUCCACAUACAAGGGGCAAUAUAAAGUGACGUUCUUUUGCAUUAAGAUUUUGUGCAUCCAACCCUAAAAGCACAUGACAACCUCUGCUUCCCUCUGCGAAGGGCCUAUCUUUUACUUUAUGUUUUUACUUUAUGCUUGAGUGAAGGUGAUCCUCACCUUUCCCUUUUUCAUUUUAUCUUUUGGCAAGCUCCUUGUGUUUGAAAGAUCAUGAUAUAUAUAUCCAAUUGGAUGUAAGUUAGCAUGGGCUAUUAUUGUUGACAUCACCUAAAGGUGAAUACGUUGGGAGGCAACACAAUAAGCCCCUAUCUUUCUCAGUGUCCGGGUGAAACUUCAUAACCACAAGUAUUGCGUGAGUGUUAGCAAUUGUAGAAGACUACAAUAUAGUUGAGUAUGUGGACUUGCUGAAAAGCCCUAUUGUUGACUCUUUCUGAUGUUAUGAUAAAUUGCAAUUGCUUCAAUGACUGAGAUUAUAGUUUGUUAGUUCUCAAUGAAGUUUUUGAACCAUACUUGACAUUGUGAAUUGAUUGUUACUUGAGCAUAAGAAAUCAUAAGAUAAAAUCUAUAUAUCUUGCUGUUAUAAGAAUGAUCAUGAUGCCCUCAUGUCCGUAUUUUAUUUUAUCGACACCUCUAUCUCUAAACAUGUGUAUUUUUCGAUAUCGGCUUCCGCUUGAGGACAAGCGAGGUCUAAGCUUGGGGGAGUUGAUACGUCCAUUUUGCAUCAUGCUUUUAUAUCAAUAUUUAUUGCAUUAUGGGAUGUUAUUACACAUUAUAUCUCAAUACUUAUGGCUAUUCUCUCUUAUUUUACAAGGUUUACCAUGAAGAGGGGGAAUGUCGGCAGCUGGAAUUCUGGCUGGAAAAGGAGCAAACAUUGGAAACCUAUUCUGCACUGCUCCAAAAAUCCUGAAACUCCACGAAACAUAUUUUUGGAAUUAAUAAGAAUUAUUGAGCGAAAGAAAUACAUCAGGGGGCCCACACCCUAUCCAGGAGGGUGGGGGCGCCCCCCUACUGGGCGCGCCCCCUUGUCUCCUGGGCCCCCUGGUGGCCCCCCGGUGUCCAUCUUCUGCUAUAUGAGGGCUUUUACCCUAGAAAAAAUCGUGGGCAAGCUUACGGGACGAAACUCCGCCGCCACGAGGCGGAACCUUGGCAGAACCAAUCUAGGGCUCUAGCGGAGCUGUUCUGCCGGGGACACUUCCCUCCGGGAGGGGGAAAUCAUCAGCAACGUCAUCACCAACGAUCCUCUCAUUGGGAGGGGGUCAAUCUCCAUCAACAUCUUCACUAGCACCAUCUCCUCUCAAAACCCUAGUUCAUCUCUUGUAUCCAAUCUUGUAUCAAAACCACAAAUUGGUACUUGUGGUUGCUAGUAGUGUUGAUUACUCCUUGUAGUUGCUGCUAAUUGGUUUACUUGGUGGAAGAUCUUAUGUUCAUAUCCUUAAUGCAUAUUAUUACUCAUCUGAUUAUGAACAUGAAUAUGCUUUCUGAGUAGUUACGUUUGUUCCUGAGGACAUGGGUGAAGUCUUGCUAUUAGUAGUCAUGUGAAUUUGGUAUUCGUUCGAUAUUUUGAUGAGAUGUAUGAUGUCUUUUCCUCUAGUGGUGUUAUGUGAACAUGGACUACAUGACACUUCAUCAUUAUUUGGGCCUAGAGGAAGGCAUUGGGAAGUAAUAAGUAGAUGAUAGGUUGCUAGAGUGACAGAAGCUUAAACCCUAGUUUAUGCGUUGCUUCGUUAGGGGCUGAUUUGGAUCCAUACGUUUAAUGAUGUGGUUAGGUUUACCUUAAUACUUCUUUUGUAGUUGCGGACGCUUGCAAUGCUGGUCCAAGUAAGGGCAGUACCCAAGCACCGGUCCACCCAUUUCCAGGCUUAUCCUUGCUACAUAAAGGAUUGGACCACCUUUCUGCACUUUAUUUACUAUAUUUACUUGUUACUCGUUACUAUUUAUCUUAUCACAAAACUAUCUAUUACCUACAAUUUCAGUGCUUGCAGAGAAAACCUUACUGAAAACCGCUUAUCAUUUCCUUCUGCUCCUUGGGUUCGACACUCUUACUUAUCGAAAGGAAUACGAUAGAUCCCCUACACUUUUGGGUCAUCACUCGACGGGAUCCUCAGGCACGAUAAAUUCUUCGUCUUCGGAGAGGGGCAUGUAAUUGUCAUCCUCUGAAUCUCCAUCCGUUGCCUGUUCAUCAGCGCUAGCUUGCCCGUCCUCCCAUCUUGCUUGCUCGAACCUUGGCUGGGCGGGAUUGUUUUCAUCUUCGGCAUCAUCUGAAGUGUUAUUGUCUCUUGUCCCGGUAUCGCUAUUUUUGCUAUGGCGGGGUUUAGAGCGGCGCCGCUGACGUUUGCGCUUGGGUUGCUUAUCAAGAGGAUCAUCCUCCAUUGCAUCCUUUUGAUCCUCGCCAUUAUUUUCUUUGGGUGUGUCCACCAUAUAUAUAUCAUACGAUAAGGUGGCUGUCCAGCGCCCUGUGGGCGGUGGUUCGUGUUCUUCUCCGGCAUCGUCGUCCAUACCAUCGAUGUCUUCGGAGUCGAAAUCAAGCAUGUCAGUUAAGUCGCCGACAGUGGCUAUUAAGUGCGUGGUGGGUGGGUAACGAAUUCCUUCGUCGUCCGCUUCCCACUCAAGUCGGACACAGUUCAGCCAAGAAUCUCCUGACAGGGAGAGAGAUUUUAAUGAGUUAAGCACAUCGCCCAAGGGUGAGUGCUGAAAGAUAUCCGCGGAGCUAAACUCCAUGACCGGUGCCCGGCUAGGUCCAAUGGGCACGGAUGUACGUGGUUCGGAUCCUAUGGCCGGAGACGAGUCCGAGGGUCCGACGACACGGACCUCCUUGGAAGUGAGAUCUGUGUUUGGCUCCAUAAUCGCUGGGUGUGCGGCCUCCGUGGUGGGGUCCAUCCUCUCAUCCUCGGAUGGCACGAUCUGCUCCGGAUUUAAGGUCGGGGCAGCUGCAGGUGUGAUCUCCUGAAUAGCGUCCGAUGGAAGAUCUAAGUCAUGCUCAUCGCGACUGUAGGGCGCACCUGUCAUGAGCUCGAAUCCGUCAAAGAUCAAGUCUCCGCGGAUGUCGGCGGUGUAGUUCAGGCUUCCAAACCUGACCUGAUGGCCAGGGGCGUAGCUAUCGAUCUGCUCCAGAUGGCAAAGCGAGUUGGCCCACAGUGCAAAGCCGCCGAAUAUGAAGAUCUGUCCGGGGAGGAAAACCUCGCCCUGGACCAUGUUGUUGUAGAUGAUUGAAGGAGCCAUCAAGCCUUACCGUGACGACACAGUGGAACUCUCAAUGAAAGCACCAAUGUCGGUGUCAAAACCAGCGGAUCUCGGGUAGGGGGUCCCGAACUGUGCGUCUAAGGCUAGUGGUAACAGGAGGCGGGGGACAUAAUGUUUACCCAGGUCCGGGACCUCUCUAUGGAGGUAAUACCCUACUUCCUGCUUGAUUGAUCUUGAUGAUAUGAGUAUUACAAGAGUUGAUCUACCACGAGAUCGUAGAGGCUAACUCUAGAAGCUAGCCUAUGAUUAUGAUUGUUGUUGUCCUACAGACUAAACCCUCCGGUUUAUAUAGACACCGGAGGGAGCUAGGUUUACACAGAGUCGGUUACAGGGAAGGAAAUCUACAUAUCCGAAUUGCCAAGCUUUCCUUCCACGCAAAGGAGAGUCCCACCCGGAUACGGGACGAAGUCUUCAAUCUUGUAUCUUCAUAGUCCAACAGUCCGGCAUAAGUAUAUAGUCUGGCUGUCCGAGGACCCCCUAAUCCAGGACUCCCUCACCCGUGCCUACCAAAGGCAUCAACGACCACCGUCGUGGCAAAAUGGUCCCAAACAGGGACAAGGUACCCUAAAAACAAACGGGCACACAAGGUUAUGUCUGCUUACCGGCCAGGGUACCGCAUGCCCAUAACCUUCCCUCGUUGAAGGCACCGGCAAGACGCAUGAGAACGGACCGAAUCAAGACCUCCCCAUAAAGGUAAAUGUGGUUGCACUGAGGAAAACCCGAUUCAGUGGCACCAUGACUUGAUCAACGUUAUAUUCAAGUUGGAUUAUUAUCAGGUUUAACUUGAAAAUAAAAUCACCCCAAGUCAUCUGAUGCCAUGAUCAUGCAACUAUUCGACAUGCAAAGCAUAACACUCCAAUGAACGGAUCAACAUCAUAGAAAUGAUUUUCUUGCACUACUCAUCAUCAAGCUUUACUGGUUCUACUUUAUUGAUGUUUAUCAUGCAUCCUUUUAAUUAUCUUAUCAUUUAUAAGAAAAUCCAUUUAUCAUGAAGAAACUACCAUUAUUCAUAAAAGCAUUUUCUCUAGUUAAAACUUUAUUCUACUUGACCAAACUAGUUCAUGCAUUCAACUAGUAACUUAAGCAAGCAUUUCAAGCAUGACAAAGUAACUAGCACUAAACAAUAUUUAUUGAACUAAUUUAAAUGCAUGAAAAUAACUCAUAUUCAAGUAGAAAAAUCAUAGAUAUUGAAGUGACACCAUCCAUAUGCUGGUGUGGCUUGCCUUAGUGCAGAGGAUGUUCACACUCGUCCUGGUUAUCUUCAAGACAAGUCUCUCCCUCUGAAAAUAUUUAAAAACCACAAAAUAAAAUAUCAAGAACCAUUCUGAAAAUUACCAGAAAUUCUAGAUAGCAAGGAAAAAUCCACCCUUUGGUGUGUUGCUAGAGCUCUUCAAAACAAACACAAUGCAAAAAAGAAUCAACCCAUUUGGACUUGUGGUUUAAAAGUUAUCACUGGUCAAAGUUCUGGUCAAGUUUUUGAAUGAAUUUGAAUUAAACAGAAAAACCAGGGGGGUGACGUCGAUGGCGUAAACGCCGAAUACGCCUCCACUCGUACCGCUUCGGGCGCGAGUGGAGAGGCUGACAGCGGGCCCCACCGGUCAGGGAAGAGAGGGGGAAGAAGAAACAGAGCACAACGAUGCUUCACCGGAGCUCGCGCCGGCGAGGAGAGUUUCUUGGGCGAUUCCAGAGGAAUAGAAGUGGAGAGGGGGUCACGGCGCACCUAGCUGUACCCGUGGCUUGUCGAGGGAUGGCCGGAGCUGCUCGCAAUCAAGCUCGCGAGCGGCGGUUGUGGUCGAGAUUCGCCGGAGAGGAAGAAGGCGACCGAGAGGGGCGACUCCAGGUGCUCCAAGGCUUCCAGGCGGCACCAAUGGACCUCCAAGGAUGCGCCUGUGGGGUUGAUUGAGCUCAAGGGGCUCUGGAAUGGGAUGGAGAGGCUACGGGGGUCGCCGGCGAGCUCGGGUCAGGGGCGACGGCCAGAGGCCUGCCGGCCGGGCUGCGGCUAAACUACGGGGUCGUGGUGGUUGGGUGGUGUGGUUUGAGGCUUUGGAGGGGAGGGAGGGGCUCUAUAUAUAGCCGGAGGAGGAGGGGGAUACGUGGCACCGCCGGAGUUCUCUGGAAGCCGGCGAGCGAGGACGAAGGGCGCCAGUGAGGGGGGGAGAGCUCAGCGAUCACGCGGGAGCUGUCGCAACUCACGGAUGAGCACGGGAAGCAUAGGGGGAAGAAGACAUGGGCACAUGCGCAUUGUGCCUUUUGGCCGCGAUGUGCGUGCUCGCUGCAACAUCUCCGGCAUUGGUGAGCACCAGGGAGGGGUCAUUGGUGAUGUGUAGAGACUGGUGGCGCGGCGCAGCAGUCGUCGGUGAGCUCUAGCUCGAGCAUGCGCCGAACAGAGGCACUAGCGCGACACAGAGCAUGUCGAACGCAUGCCAGAGCCUGUGUCCUCACGCGGUCACCAUGCUGGCAUGGUCAAGACGAUGCCCACGCUCGGCCAAACCUUGUCUGGGGUGUUGUUCGUGCAGUGUUAAGUCUAGGGAAGUUGAGAACUCAAUGCCAGGCCGACCAGAUAGGACUUGAGCUUGGUGGCAAGUUUCUGGCCAAAAACUUGGUCUCCAAGUUUGGAGGGCUUCUAGAAGGUAAUUAGGGCUGAUCUCCUGUGGUUAAGCUUUUCUUAAUUAGGAGGGUAAUGAGGCUCUGGAAAAACCAGCUCCUUGGAUCAAAGAAAAAUACACUUGUUGUACAAAGUGCAUUUUUGGGCCAGAAGUGAAAUGAUUUCUGUAGAAAAAAUAUUCCAAAAAGUCAUGCAAUAUUUUUGCUCAAGAAGGUGGGCCAAGGUUCAAAGAAUAUUUAGGAAUUAUCUCAGGAUUUUUGGAGCCAUAAAAAUGAGGGUUGCUUUGGAGCACUAGUUUCUGAAAUGAGUUUCAGAGAAGAUUGUGAAUAUUUUUAUUUUAUAAAAAAUAUUCCUUGGGCCAUUUAGGGAUUUUUCAGAGAAAGAAGAUUGAAUGAGAAGUAGAUGGGUCACUUGGGUGAAAGUCAAGGGCAUGCCCAAGUGAUAAGUCCAUUUGAAUUGAUUCCAAAAACUCAAAUCCAAAGCAAGGGCAAAUAAAGUCCGGAAAAAGAGAGAAGUCAAUAUCCAGGCUGUCACAAAGAUGGAGAAGCAAAAAACAGGGGUGUGACUAUCGUACAAAGGUAACCAACACUCAAAGAGCUAAUUAUUCGGAAUCACCAUGAGGUUUUACAGAGUUAUUAUAAAAGACGAGGUUUGUAGCGAGCAAAAGCCUAUAGACUAAUAAGCAUGUAGACUAAUAUCUAGGAAAGCAAAAGCAUGGCUUUUGCACCCCCAAUGGAUCCUCAUGAUGCCCUGAUCAAUCUCGUCGCUGGCCUCCAUCCAUGGCUCAAUCUAAACAUGUCACGUGGUACCUGUUCAAAUAGUUUUACCCCCCCCCCCCCUCCAAAGAUCAAAGCCUUGCAUUUUCCUGCUUUGUUUGCAUGAUUUACCUAGAAUUUAGGGGAAAAACAAUCAAGAUGGUCCAAAAUGUGUGGUCAUCAAUUUUCCUAUUGUCAAAGCAUGUAUAUUUCAGAUUUCCAUGUAGCUAAAAAAAUGCAGCAACACCAACAAAAAUCAAAAUUGUAUCUUGUGUGCAAACCCGGGGAGACAAUAAAUGAAAAUAUUAUCCAUGCUGUGAGGUAUCUUGAAAAAUAUGAGCACAUUUCAGUAUAUUCCACAUAAGUCUAGCAAAUGAACAAUCCAAAAAUAGGCGAUUGGUGCUUUCUUCCUGACUACAAAAUUGGCAAGCCCCACUACCAUGACAUCGCCUAUGCAUCAGGGUAUCUCUGAUAAGUAUACUACUUUUAUUUUAUAAUAAGCCACAUAUUUUUUAUCUUCAAUGUCAACUUCAUUUUCCACAUGUAUUUACAAGAGAAAGGUACAUUAAAAGCAACGAGCUUCUUAUACAUGUUUUUGAUAGUAAAACAACAUUGUUAGUAAGAGAUCACUUGAUAUGAUGAGGGGCAUACUUCAGAAUAACUAUCUUCUUUUUCAUCGAACCGUCCCAAUUUGAGAAUCCAUUAGUUUGGACUUAAACAUCAUGGAUGCAUUUGUCUCCUUUAUAUUUUCUUCUUCUCAAAAUCGUUUUACAACCACCUUCAAUAUUGUAUGGUUUCCAUAACCAUUUUGAUAGCAAAUGAUUAUUCAUUGUUUCUAAAUUUUGAACACCCAACCCUCCCAAACCCUUAGGAGGACAGACUAUCUUCUGGCUAACAAGAUCAUGUUUCCAUUUAUCAACAUCUUGCUGCCAAAGUAACCCAACUCUAAAUAAAGUCACUCCUUUUCCUCACACCCACAUGCAAAGGAUAAAAUGACAUCAUGUAUCUAGGGAUGUUUUUCAAACAUGAUUGGAUUAAUAUCAUCCUUCCUCCAAUAGCUAAUACUCUUUCUUAGCAAACCCCGUGUCUUUUUCUUAAAUUUUUUUGCCACAUUCUUCCAAUCCUUUUACUAAUACUAUUGCCUGAUAUUGAGAUUGCCACAUAUCUCAUUGGUAAGUUAAUUUUGAGUCCAACCAUUUGUUCAAAACGCACACAAAAUGAAUUUGAAAUUGUGUGCACUUUCAUAACCAUCUCUAAGUAGAAAAACAAUAUCAUCAAUGCACAACGACAUAUUUAUACCCCCUUCAAUGUAUUCAUCAAUCAAUUCUUUAACUACAUCAUUAUAGCAUUGUUCAUCAACACUGACAAGGCAUCAACAACAAGAUUAAAAAAGUAAAGGAGACAAGGAAUCCCCUUGCCCGAGCCCUUUAAAAGUACGGAGAAAAGGACCAAUAUCUUUAUUGACUUUUAUUCCCACAUGACUAUCUCUCAUAAGUUUCAUCUUCCAAUCAGUCCAAACAUGAGAGAAACCUUUACGCCUAAGCAUUUGUCAUCCAAAAUGCCAUUUUAUUUUGUCACAUGGUUUUUCAAAAUAAACUUUAAACAUAAGAGCACUUUUGUUUUUUUAAUGAUGCAUAGUAUUCAAAGUCUCACGAUGUAACGCCCUCGAUGCGGCUAUAUCUCCCACGUGUCGAAGCACGACUUAGAGGCAUAACCGCAUUGAAAGCAAUGUCGCAAGUGAGGUAAUCUUCACACAACCCAUGUAAUACAUAAGGGAAAGAGAUACAUAGUUGGCUUACAAUCGCCACUUCACACAAUUACAUGAAUAAAGCAUUACAUCAUCCAGAUACAAUCAAGGUCCGACUACGGAACCAAAAUGAAAGAAGAACCCCAAAUGCGACAAAGGUCCCCGAUCGACCCCAACUGGGCUCCACUACUGAUCAACUAGAACGAAACAACACAAAGGGCAAGAUCUUCAACGAGCUCCUCCUUGAGCUUGGUUGCGUCACCUGCUCGGUAACAUAGGCACCUGCAAACUAGUUUUGGAAGUAUCUGGUGAGCCACGGGGACUCAGCAAUCUCGCACCCGCGAGAUCAAGACUAUUUAAGCUUAU
rnacentral:lncRNA from 1 species